AACCAACAGGAAAGGCAAUCCGAAAAGGAGCUGGGAAAACUGAUGGGAGAUUGCUAGCCGGGGGCCAAGUGUUAGGAAGAACUGAAAGGAGAGAGCACGAAGUUGGAAAGUUGGUGUGGGAAGAAGAGAACGUCCUGAAAACAAAGCCUAAGAGGACAGCAACACGGUCAGAAUUCAGAAAUGCAUGAAGAAAACAUUUGUUGGAAUGGAGACACAUAGCCACAGCGGCAGCCUCUCGUACCUGCAUCUGAAUCCCGCAAGGCUGAAAUCCCUGCUAACAGUAAGGAUGAUCUUCCCAGCCAAAGCGACGAGCCUUCUCUCUACGAAUAUUCCCCUCACCAAGAACCUUGAGGUUGGUGGAAGGUCAGCAGAGCAGAAAGGAAAGCUGGCAAAGCACAGCUGGGGCUGAGAGUCCCUGCAAGGUCUACUUUUGUAUGUGAUGCCUACUGAUAGGAUUCAGUUCCCAGGACGCAGGAGGUAAGCCCAAAAGGCUUACAAUUCAGAACAAGGCUUUGAGGGGAAAAUGUCCAAAAAAAAAUGAAUAAAUAAAUGCCCGUAGCUGUUUACGGCUUAAAAAUAAAA